rnacentral:rRNA from 1 species
UACGUAGGUGGCAAGCGUUGUCCGGAUUUACUGGGCGUAAAGGGCUCGUAGGUGGCCAACUAAGUCAGACGUGAAAUCCCUCAGCUUAACUGGGGAACUGCGUCUGAUACUGGAUGGCUUGAGUUUGGGAGAGGGAUGCGGAAUUCCAGGUGUAGCGGUGAAAUGCGUAGAUAUCUGGAGGAACACCGAUGGCGAAGGCAGGUCUCUGGGCAUUAACUGACGCUGAGGAGCGAAAGCAUGGGGAGCGAACAGG